UUCUUUCAGAGAGAGUGAGAAGAGAGGCUAGGUGUGUUUUUGUGCCAGUGGAAGCGACCAUCGUAGUGAGAGCCAUUUCCUCUCCUUUUAUUUUUAUUUUUAUUUUUAUUUUAUUUUGUACUGCACCCCUAGCAAGAGAGACGUUGUUGCCUCCUUUUGUCCGUUUUGAAAGAUCCUCCUUUUUCCAACUAAGACCCCUCUCCCCAAAAGAUCCGUUGGACUCCU
rnacentral:lncRNA from 1 species